UGGGUGCUCCUGGAGUGUUCCUGGGUGUUCUUGGAGUGUUCCUGGGGUGUUCUUUGGUGUUCCUGGGGUGUUCUUUGGUGUUCUUGGGGUGGUUUUUGGUGUUCCUGGGGUGUUCCCAGCAGCUCCCAGCACGGUUUUGGUGGGGUUGGGGUUUUUUUGGGUGGUCAAGGCGGCUCAGGGACGCUCGGGAGAGGUCCUGGAACCGCUGCAAUUGUGAGAUGGAACGGGAAAAAGUUCCUGGAAUUGUGAGAUGGAACGGGAAAAAGUUCCUGGAAUUGUGAGAUAGAAUGGGAAGAAGUUCCUGGAAUUGUGAGAUGGAACAGGAAAAAGUUCCUGGAAUUGUGAGAUGGAACAGGAAAAAGUUCCUGGAAGUGCUGGAAUUACAGCUCUGGAAAAGCCUGGAAAGUUCUGGAAUUAUGGCUGUGGAAGGGCCUGGAAUUACAGCUCUGGAAUGUUCUGGAAUUACGGCUCUGGAAGGGUCUGGAAUUACAGCUCUGGAAAGUUCUGGAAUUACAGCUCUGGAAAGUGCUGGAAUUACAGCUCUGGAAGGGUCUGGAAUGUUCUGGGAAGUGCUGGAAAGUGCUGGGAUUACAGCUCUGGAAAAGCCUGGAAAGUUCUGGAAUUGCAGCUCUGGAACAUUCUGGAAGAGUCUGGAAUGUUCUGGGAAGUGCUGGAAUUAUGGCU
rnacentral:lncRNA from 1 species